UACGGAGGAUGCAAGCGUUAUCCGGAUUUAUUGGGUUUAAAGGGUGCGUAGGCGGCUUGUUAAGCGUGAGGUGAAAUGCCACUGUUCAACAGUGGAACUGCCUCGCGAACUGGCUGGCUUGAAUGCUCCUGCCGUGGGAGGAAUGUGUGGUGUAGCGGUGAAAUGCAUAGAGAUCACACAGAACACCGAUUGCGAAGGCAUCUCACGAAGGGGUGAUUGACGCUGAGGCACGAAAGCGUGGGGAUCAAAC
rnacentral:rRNA from 1 species